AUUGAACGCUGGCGGCAUGCCUUACACAUGCAGGUCGAACGGCAGCGGACCUUCGGGUGCCGGCGAGUGGCGAACGGGUGAGUAAUAUAUCGGAACGUACCUUUCAGUGGGGGAUAACGUAGCGAAAGUUACGCUAAUACCGCAUAUUCUGUGAGCAGGAAAGCAGGGGAUCGCAAGACCUUGCGCUGAUUGAGCGGCCGAUAUCAGAUUAGCUAGUUGGUGAGGUAAAGGCUCACCAAGGCGACGAUCUGUAGCGGGUCUGAGAGGAUGAUCCGCCACACUGGAACUGAGACACGGUCCAGACUCCUACAGGAGGCAGCAGUGGGGAAUUUUGGACAAUGGGCGCAAGCCUGAUCCAGCCAUGCCGCGUGAGUGAAGAAGGCCUU
rnacentral:rRNA from 1 species